AAAAAAAAGGGAGGGGAGGGGAGGAAAGAAGAAAACGAACGCAGCAACACAAGAGAAAGGUGUAUGUUCCCGAAGAUGUUCCCCAAUUACUUCCUUUUCUUUUUGGUUCUUUCUUUUGUUUCCUUUUCUUUUUAUUUUGGGGUGCUUUUUCU
rnacentral:ribozyme from 1 species